rfam:Prunus persica cultivar Lovell chromosome G1, whole genome shotgun sequence.
UUGGGAGCUCAUUGGCUUCGGAGUCAUGAGAACUUCGAAGUUAAGCAAGUUGGGGCUAGAGUAAUCCCAAGAUGGGUGACCUAUUGGGAAGUUGCUAGUGAGUUCCCAGA